ACCUCAUACUAUUCCCUCCCCUCCUCCACGAACCCCUUCAUAACAAACAAACUCAACACACCGUUGUGCACCUUUAGUGUGCCUCUUGCGUGCUUAAGUGAGCCAUUCUCUUUUUUCUUUCUUUGCCUUCGUUCUCCGACACGCUCGUCUGCCUCGUUGACUUCUUUUCUGCUCGUAUCGCUACUUCAUGGGACACCGCACGGCACCCUAGUCCUGCGUCGUGCUGCUCGACUCAACUUUCUGCUUUCUCGAACCACCUCUUCUUCGCCAGCCCUCCUCCCUCCCUCUCACUCCCGGCCCACUAAAAGGCUUUUGUGCGAGGGCCAUGCACAACUCUUCGAAGUCUGAGUACUCCGUGGUGGGCCAGCGGGAGCAGCUUGAUGUGGUUGACGUAGCAGUGUCGGAGACGACCCAGGUUGUAGGCAGUGUCACCCGCCCGUGGCACUACAGCUUGUGUGUGACCUGCACCGAGAUGAAUUCGUGCCUAGAGUGCUGCUUCUGCACGGUGUGCCAGCUAAGCCGCCAGUUCAAUAUGCUGUAUAACAACAAGCCGGAGCUGCACCUUCCUGUCUGCUUGAUGAUAACAGGACUGAGCAUGUCCGGUGUCCCCUCGGUCUUUGUGCUCGAGUACAUCCUGCGCAGUGACAUUCGUCGCCGCUAUGGUAUUGAGGGCAACGCGUUGAAGGAUUGCUGCGUAUCAUGGCUGUGCGAAGCGUGCGCGGUUCAGCAGCAGUUCCUGGAGAUGACGUCUCUUGGCAUGUGCCCCGGCAUGAGUAUGUGCGGCGUCGCCCCUGUAGCGCCAGGCUCGCAGGUAAUGCUUUAGGUCGUGAGGAGGCGGUUGCACCACUGACACGGCCUUUGCCGUUUUGCUUUGAGGAAGUCACAACGACGCGCUGUCUCUCUCUCUCUCUCCCUCGUUGUAGUUGUUUUCGCCCUUGUCUCAUCUCGCUUUCCUUCGAAAAUGAUUUCCUUUUUUUUCUUGUUCUUUCGUCUCGCACUUCGCACUUCUUGGUGCAACUCGCUUGACUCCUCCUCCCGCACUCACCCAACCCGCACCCAUAAUGUCGCGCCCCACUCUAAGCGCCCACUGGUCAACGCAGGUCUCCUAACAGUUUUUUUUUUUUGCUCUUUAUUAGUGACUAAAAUUCCUGACUUCUCCGUCAUGUGCUUGUUUGCUUGUCGGCUGCGCGCGCGUGUGCGCGCUUGCUUGCUUGCUGCGGUCUGUUGACCAGUGACUUGCUUAUUUCUCUCUUGUGGGGUAACGUUGCCCACUCUUCCUCCUUCUCCCUCGCCGACUGGCUCACUUCGUUGCUAUUUCCUUCUAUCUGUUUCUGUAAGACAGCCCUCAGACGUCGACACUUAUGGGAUGCGUCACCGUCGUCCAAACCGAUAAAACUGCCCCUUCAAACAAAAAAUUGCGCAUCUUGGUAUGUCUACCGCGCUUUCACUGUUUCCUUCGAAAAUCCGCGCGCGCGCGUGUGUGUGUGAGCUGGUUUAUGUUUUGAGCUUCGGUGUGUUCCUUGUCACUGCCCUCAGCCUCACCAUCUCGCGCGCCCUUUUUUCUCUGUUCUUCUCGGAUGAAG
rnacentral:misc_RNA from 1 species